rnacentral:tRNA from 1 species
GGAGAGGUGCCGGAGCGGUUGAACGGGGCGGUCUCGAAAACCGUUGAACCUUCGCGGGUUCCCAGGGUUCGAAUCCCUGCCUCUCCGCCA